CCCGGCAGUGGGCCAUUGCCCAGCAAAGUCGCGUUUUCCUAAACCCAUAGUUCCGUACCGUGUCGCCUGGCGUGGACGUAGACCACUGUUGGGUGCUGUGUUGCGUACAACAGAACCAUGGGAGAAUUUCUGAACCCUGGCCUCCCCGGCAGUGGGCCAUUGCCCAGCAAAGUCGCGUUUUCCUAAACCCAUAGU
rnacentral:lncRNA from 1 species